rnacentral:lncRNA from 1 species
AAAUGACAAGAGAGGAGAAAGCGUCAAACUCACUCUUCCCAUGACUAAUUCACAUUUUAGUUGACCCCAUUCAAGAAAAGCAACGAUCGACUUCAAAUAUACAUUCCAUUGACAUUUUGCCAACUUUGCUAGAUGUAAUAGGUACCAGCUAUUAGCAAUUCCAGAAAUUGCUCCUCAUUCUCAUCGCUUCAUAAAUGAUGCUCAUC